UGGAGGAAAGUAGGGGAUCGUAAGACCUUGCGCUUUUGGAGCGGCCGAUGUCUGAUUAGCUAGUUGGUGGGGUAAUGGCCUACCAAAGCUUCGAUCAGUAGCUGGUCUGAGAGGACGGCCAGCCACACUGGGACUGAGACACGGCCCAGACUCCUACGGGAGGCAGCAGUGGGGAAUUUUGGACAAUGGGCGCAAGCCUGAUCCAGCCAUGCCGCGUGAGUGAAGAAGGCCUUCGGGUUGUAAAGCUCUUUCAGCUGGGAAGAAAAGGCUGCGAUUAAUAAUCGCAGUUCAUGACGGUACCGGAAGAAGAAGCACCGGCUAACUACGUGCCAGCAGCCGCGGUAAUACGUAGGGUGCGAGCGUUAAUCGGAAUUACUGGGCGUAAAGGGUGCGCAGGCGGUUUUGUAAGUCAGAUGUGA
rnacentral:rRNA from 1 species